rnacentral:rRNA from 1 species
AACGAACGCUGGCGGCAGGCCUAACACAUGCAAGUCGAGCGCGCCCUUCGGGGUGAGCGGCGGACGGGUGAGUAACGCGUGGGAACGUGCCCUUUUCUACGGAAUAGCCUCGGGAAACUGAGAGUAAUACCGUAUACGCCCUUUGGGGGAAAGAUUUAUCGGAAAAGGAUCGGCCCGCGUUGGAUUAGGUAGUUGGUGGGGUAAUGGCCUACCAAGCCGACGAUCCAUAGCUGGGUUGGGAGGAUGAUCAGCCACACUGGGACUGAGACACGGCCCAGACUCCUACGGGAGGCAGCAGUGGGGAAUCUUAGACAAUGGGGGCAACCCUGAUCUAGCCAUGCCGCGUGAGUGAUGAAGGCCUUAGGGUUGUAAAGCUCUUUCAGCUGGGAAGAUAAUGACGGUACCAGCAGGAGAAGCCCGGGGUAAGUCCGUG